CAUGCUUCCAAACGCUUACUGGGCGAACAUGUGAUCAUCGGGCGGUUAGGAAUGUGAUUAUUGACUUGUAAAUGUGACGUGAAAUGUGAAAAUGUGAAAAUGGAAGGUGUGACGGAGCCAUGGGAGGCUGCGUGGGACGACAGGCCGCAGCUUGUUUUGGGGCCAGGGAACAAACAGAUCGCGUGCCUCUGUUUGAUGAGGAGGAGCUGUCUGUCAGGCCAAGAGGACCGAAAAGGUUAGUUUC